rnacentral:rRNA from 1 species
UACGUAGGUGGCAAGCGUUGUCCGGAUUUACUGGGCGUAAAGGGCGUGCAGGCGGUUUGUUAAGUGCAGGGUGAAAGCUCCCGGCUCAACUGGGAGAGGUCCUUGCAUACUGGCAAACUCGAGGGAGGCAGAGGAAAGUGGAAUUCCCGGUGUAGUGGUGAUAUGCGUAGAUAUCGGGAGGAACACCGGUGGCGAAGGCGACAUCCUGGACCGGUAUUGACGCUGAGGCGCGAAAGCCAGGGGAGCAAACGGG